CUCCUGCCUCAGCCUCCCAAAUAGCUGGGACUACAGGUGUGUGCCGCCACUCUCCCCUUUUUAUUGGAAGAGAGUUCAUAGAGGACUGAGCACCUAUUUAGUAUAUGUUUCUAGGUUUGGUUACAAUUUGUUAAGAAAAGUAGAUUUGCAAACUCACUACUUUUGAAAUAUUAAAAAUACAUGCCAUGAAUUUCUACUUCAGCACAGAUUUGGACAACCACCUUAUGUAUGGAAAGAAAAUUUACUGAAUUUAGUGCUAGGCAUAGAUGAGAAUUUCUACUUGAAAAAAGCCCUUAAAACUUUUCCUGCUGUACUGUUCAAUUAUUAAUAUAUUUAAUGCACAGACGCAGUUCACAAUGUGGACUGAUGUGAACUUGUGUUGCAUUGGCUUUAUAAAUUAGGACAGUUGAUUUUACUUAUCCUCCUGAUUUGCCCAGAUAUGAUCUCUAUAAAAAAUCACAGAAAUUUUUGUAAAAUAAUCUUGCAGUUCUUGUUUUUGCUCUUUUUCUUAUUUUUUUCUCAACAAAAAAUUAUUUCUGAUGUUCUAUUUUCACUUAAAUGAAAACAUUCCAUGGAAGAAGUACAAAGAAGUAAUGCUUUGAAAUGACAGUCCCUGAAUUUUCAAGAAAGCCAGAUUCUUCCACAUCCAUAGUCUUCCUUUGUCCUGUUAAUAAUCCUCAUGAUGAGAGGAAAGUUACUGCCUAGUGUUUUAUGACUGGGAGAAUGGAGUAACAAGAAUCUAAGUGGUCAGAAGUAGAGAUUGUCAAGAAUACAGGCUCUCAGGUUUUGGUGUCUGUGCUCCAUCAGCCAAACUUUGCCCUUUUCUAGAAAAGACCCAAGUGGUGAAGUCACUAAUUUUGUCAUUGUUAUUAUGUACUGGAGAAAAAUUAAAUGAUCCACCUCUUUAUCAUAUACUGAACUUUCAUGAUAAGUAACACAUGUGGAGUAACCAAGGCUUAGCCAACUAGGGAUUAAUGUUAGAAAAUGAAUUUUGCUUUCUCUAUACUUGUUUAGAAAUAGCAAAAGUUCUGUAAGGGGAUGGCUAGGGGCCAAUGGGAGAGGUGAAGGACCUUUAUCACAGUAUUUGUUUGGUCCCCAUCAAAGUUCCUGGGUGCCAUGGAAAAGUGUUUUUCUUUUCUGGACCCUUUACUUCAUCUGCAAAAUGGUGAGGCAGUUAAACUCUCUGGCUUGCUUUUAUCUUACAGGCAUUCAGUGAGGUAUAUAACCUGCAAUAUUUCUUAAAAGUUGUAUAGGUUUUGCUGACCUGAAUUCUUUCAUGUUCUUCUUCAUCCUACAUGUGUAACUAUUCCAUGUUAUCGGUCCCCACGAUGAAAGAUAAUGGAAAAACAAUGCCUGUCUUUGUCUGACUCAAAAAGCAUGCUGGUAAUUUGCAUAUGAGAUAUAUUUUAUUAAGAUGUUUUUAUAUUUGAAAGCUAUGUCAUCUCGGUAUUGUCUAAGAAAUACAGUUCACGAUUUAUGGA